GACGAACGCUGGCGGCGUGCUUAACACAUGCAAGUCGAACGGAAAGGCCCUGCUUUUGUGGGGUGCUCGAGUGGCGAACGGGUGAGUAACACGUGAGUAACCUGCCCUUGACUUUGGGAUAACUUCAGGAAACUGGGGCUAAUACCGGAUAGGAGCUCCUGCUGCAUGGUGGGGUUUGGAAAGUUUCGGCGGUUGGGGAUGGACUCGCGGCUUAUCAGCUUGUUGGUGGGGUAGUGGCUUACCAAGGCUUUGACGGGUAGCCGGCCUGAGAGGGUGACCGGCCACAUUGGGACUGAGAUACGGCCCAGACUCCUACGGGAGGCAGCAGUGGGGAAUAUUGCACAAUGGGCGGAAGCCUGAUGCAGAAACGCCGCGUGCGGGAUGACGGCCUUCGGGUUGUAAACCGCUUUAGCCUGUGACGAAGCGUGAGUGACGGUAAUGGGUAAAGAAGCACCGGCUAACUACGUG
rnacentral:rRNA from 1 species